GUCACAUUGGAAAUAAAUUUCAUCAUUCGAUUUAGAAUACAGAGUCACUUUGUUGAGUUCUUCGAGAAUGAAAAGAAAAAGAGAUAACAACGAUUCGCCGGUAUACGAUGACGAAAGAGAAGAAGAAAAUAAUUUCGUUGCAAUAAAAUGUGGAUUGCAAACAAUACUUCGACCCGAGCAUGCAGCAGUUGUGACGCAAAUAUUGUUUGAGCGCAGUCUUCAAAUGACGGAAGUUGCCUCAUUGGCCUCACUUUUGAUUUUAUUCAAGGUGAAUGAAGCACUCGAUAAUGAAGAUCGUCAAUUCUUUUUGCGACGGGAUCGUCGACAGUUCUUCUUCGAUUGCUUCAAUGCUGUAUUGGCCGAAAAUGUUUACAAUAAUAAUAGCCGAAAUCCCAUACCGCCAGAGUUUCGGUUCAUGGUCGAAAACUUCAGUGAUGAACAGUUCGAAUGGCCAAGCAAGGAAAAGUUGGAGAAUGGUUUUCGUUAUUUUGUCAAACAGCACAUCGUAAAUACGAAAACUGGUCUUACCACUUGGUGUGAAGAUCGACUUGAGUCAUUCUUUCGAAUGCGAUGCUGGUAUCGCAAUCACAACAUCUAUGGACCGAGAUUUGAUGGCAUCGACAUCAGAAAUGUCAAAAUGUUACCAUAUCGAUCCAACGACUUGACAAAUGGUAAUGUGGAAAGAAUAGAAAAGGCCAACAUUUUAUUGGAUGAUCUGUUCGCAAUUGGAUGGCAACGCGAAAAAUGCAUGAAAUUUUUUGUAAAAGAUCAUUGGUUUGAAUCGUUGUGAUUGUUCGGACAAGUUCAACGUCAGAUAGCAGCUUAUCACAGUGAUACCGCACAAUGGAAUACCAUUCACGAAAUAUUCCGUAACAAUCCGAAAUUUCAACAGCCAACAAACAAUCGCCCACGGAAAAUAAACAGUUUUGCUCUUGUACCGUUAUGCGAUUAUCAUUUGAAGUACGUGCGAUUGGAUAUGAGAGAUUUGUAUAAAAAAUUAGCAAGUAAGCUAAAAGUGGUGCCCAGAUUCCUGAAUACUGAUACCAACCGGCUGAAUAAAUACCCCGAAAAAUACUACAGAGAUCAUGAUCGAGAUGGACUAUGGAAUUUGUUGUUCAACGUCGAUAAAAUCAACCAAUUGGGCAAACGAUCCAAACAAUUCCAUCAUCAAAUCGAGACCAAUAGUGUUUCCGUAUCGGUACUGUACACCAAACCAGAGCGGGCGUGCAACGAAAAUUUGCACUUACAGGCGAACAAUCUUGUGGGCAAGAAAUACGUUAUUGGCAUCGAUCCGAAUGAAAAAAACGUGGUUGGCCAUAACGCAUCACAACAUCCGGAAAACAACUGAUGAACGGCCGGUUGAGGAAAACUUCACAAUACCAAACACGUGAUUCUACUGGGAAACUCGACAGAAACGAAGAGAAAAAGAGGCGAAAAAAUUAGCUGGAUGGUUUGAUAUCGAAGAAAAGAAUCAUCUGAAGACCACCAUCACCGCGUUAUUCAAAAUGGCAAUGGUACAUUGUAAAUAUUCACGACUGGAUUUUGAACAACAUGCCGUCAAUGCCACCCAAUCGGCCAUUUGGUUUGAAGAGACGGAAAAGAUGUCCAGGAUCUCGGAAAUUUUUGGUGAGCGUCAAGAAACUUAGUAACUUCAGUGAUGAAAAUGGAAGAUGAAUGGGGAACAUCACAAACAUGCUCAUCACUGCAUUGCAAAACGAAACCGAUUGCUGGACUACCGGACCCAGUCGCUAGUCUACCAGAUAUGAUUGUGGCAACGGUUAGCAAACGUGCCUUACAAAGAGGACGGAAGGAAAUUAAGCUUCGAGUUUGCAAUGGCAAUCAUCAGGAUAUGGACGAAAUACUUCGGAAUGGACGUUUAAUGUUACUACAGGUUAAUGUUACCUACAAAAAUAGGCCAUUGAAUGUUCAGGAUGAUGAUGCUGGGCCGGUAUUCUAGAACAAUCCACAAAAAUCGUUCGGAAUCAUUUGUUUAUAUAAACAACUCAGCUCAGUGAAAACAAUAAAAAUUAUUGUUAUAAUUAUAUUAACACUCACAUUACUACAAUCACUAUAACAACCACUUCUAUUGUUUUCAGUCCGAUUCAGCGCCUGACUGUAGCUAAUAUUUUGAGUGUGUAACAAUUUUUUUUAUAUUUUCAAUGUUUGGCGACAAAUGUAGAGCUCUAUUAAAGUUAUAUUUUGGUACUUUUGGUGUACAUAUUUGACGCCAAACGUUGAAAAGACAAAAAAAUAUAAGUUUCAAAUGAAUAGUCCGCUCAAUAUAUUGUCGGAAUAAUUCCACUGUUGAAAGAGGUGUCGGAAUAAUUCCGAACAAAAUAAGUGGAAUAUUGUUUAUUUUUUUUUUGUCUUAUGAAUAACGACUAUUAUUCUCGUUAUGUGCUACAAUAUUAUUCAAAACAAUAUUCAUUCAUAGAAAUAUGUUUUUCGAAAUAAUUCCGAACAAAUUGAUCGGAAAGUGGCAUUAGAAUACCGGCCCUGAUCCACAAUGCAUUAUGCUCAAAGGACUUUGUCGGAUGUUUGGCGUACUAGUGCCUGAUUCGUUGAGAAGACCACCAAACAAUGUCAACUGACAAGCAGCAGCAUUGAAUUCAUAAAUUAUCAAAUAAAACAAAUAUUAUAACGAUUAGUUAGCUUAGCUAGGCUUGACACCAUAUGUGUUACACAAAUCUUGUUGCCUUGUUGUGCGUUCAUAAGAACAGUACAACGAUUAUUCCUUGGGUAUGUUAUUUUACUAGGCGUAUAUAUACAGAAUAGCGGCCUUGCCGCUGUACGAGUAUUAUAGUAUGUAAUCGUAUUUUUGUAAUAAAGAAAAAUAAAUGAAAUAUGUUUAUCGAGUA